CAAGAGAUAUAAGACACAAUUCAGAAAGCUGUGGAUAUCAUUACUAAAGAUUUUCUAACUGCAUUGAAAGAUCGAGGGGAUGCAAAGUUGAUGAUGGUGACUGAGAAGCUCCGGAGUUAUAUAGAGUCAAAUCAGUUCCUGAAUGAACCCGAAGGCUGGCGCCUCAGGAGUUCCUUGGAAUCACACGUUUUCACUCCAGAUUCAGAUCAUGAUCAGCAGUAUCAUCACCAACAGAAUAGAUUCCAUUAGGUCCCUUCUUUUUUCCUUCAGUUACUGAAAAAUUGUUAAGUCCACAGACAUCAAUGAGAUGCUUUGUUCUCAUAAUUUGAAUAUGUAAUUUGCUCCUGUAACAUUUGUAUAUCAUCAAUGAUGGUAAAACGUAAUAGUAUUCCUCUAUUUCUACCCUUCCAAUUUUCAUUUGGGUUUGAGUGGUAUGAGACAAGGAUUUACAUUGGUCAUUUUGCUAUCCAUGUGGGCGGUAACAAGAUAUAAUAUCAUUCAUCUAAGAAGUUUGUUUCUCUUGCACGAAUGGUACCAUAGGUUGCAGCUUGGGAGCAUUAGGUUUGUGGAAGAACAUUGCUACAAAAAUGAUGAUACUUGAGUUAAAGAUCAAAUUUGACAUUGAUUGAUGACAAUCUUUUACAAAAACUCUUUUAAGUCCACUUCCUAUUUUGUCUUAUUUUAUAUUGUAUCUUUAAAGCAAAGGGUGAUGCUAUAUAUCCAGGAUUAGUAAUCAUGACUGUAUUGAUGGAAUCGCAAUACCUAUCGUCUAACUUUGGAAUUUGGAUGGUUGUAUGUUAUGUUUAUACAGGUACAUCUUAUUUUUCUUAAGAGUCUGGUCGUCUUCUUGCUGAAGUAAGAAAAGGCAAUGGAGAUUCAAUUUAUUCUGUUGUUGGGUUGUUGCUUAUUCUCAAAAGACAUGGAACAUGAAAUCCGGACAACCUAUGCUUUCCGAGAGUGGAUAUUGGAGGCCUAAACCUGAUGGGACAAGUCGUCAUUGGUCAGAGCACUGGUCUUGUUGAAGGCGAUUUCCUUAUGAAUAAUCAGAUGUGACAUUUGAAAUAUGAAUCUUCGAUACAAGUCGAGCUUCAUCAAGAACAUGCACGCUAAGCCAAGCUAGGGAUCACUUCUUUGGAGGCUUACAAGGUGCUUGAAAUGAAGUUGGGAGAGGAGGCGCUAUUUGUGCAAAGGGGCUAUUCCAUAAAUGCAAGCCUUUCAUCCCUUGAGAAGACAACCAAACAUGGCUCUUACUUCAUUAAAGGUAUUAUUGUAAUAGCUAUAGUUGUCUUCUUUGUUUAUUUAGUAUAAAUACCACCUUAGGUUAUUUCAUUAGGGAGUUUUGAUGAAAUAUGAAUAUUAUUGUUAUCUCUAGAGAGAGAACUUAUGAGAGGCUUAUGGAAAGCUCUUGUUGAAUCUUGUUUUGUUGAGAGGAUUGUUUACUUGGGAGCUUAGAUUCCCUUGAGGUCAUCCUAAGAGAAUUGGUGCUUGAUUGUAUGCUAGUUGGAGGUUUUAGCUAUUAUAGAGCUUUAGUUGCCAAUUAGUGUCUUUCCUUGUGUCAUUCUAUCCAUCCUUUUACUUUCUUGUUGAUUUCUUUGUUUCUCCAUAUCCAUUAUUGUAUCAAUCUUAAUCAUCACAUCCCAUUGUGUCCAUAGACAUUUUACAUAGAUACUUU